CUGACACAGGGAGGUAGUGACAAUAAAUAACAAUGCCGGGCCUUUCUAGGUCUGGCAAUUGGAAUGAGAACAAUUUAAACCCCUUAUCGAGUAUCAAUUGGAGGGCAAGUCUGGUGCCAGCAGCCGCGGUAAUUCCAGCUCCAAUAGCGUAUAUUAAAGUUGUUGCAGUUAAAAAGCUCGUAGUUGGAUUUGUGGCGUACGGGGUGUUCCCUUCACUAGUUGUAGGUGAAAUGCUCGGUUGCCAUCCUUGGGUGGAAUCUGUGUGGCAUUAGGUUGUCGUGCAGGGGAUACCCAUCUUUUACUGUGAAAAAUUAGAGUGUUCAAAGCAGGCUUAUGCCGUUGAAUAGAUUAGCAUGGAAUAAUGAGAUAGGACCUUGGUACUAUUUUGUUGGUUUGCGCACCGAGGUAAUGAUUAAUAGGGACAGUUGGGGGUAUUCGUAUUCCAUUGUCAGAGGUGAAAUUCUUGGAUUUUUGGAAGACGAACUACUGC
rnacentral:rRNA from 1 species